CUGCAUCUCCCACUCUAGCCAUAGCAGGGGAUUUUGAAUGAAUCUUGAAAGAGCAGCUUUUUGCUGGACUUUGGAAAUGCAGUGACAAGAACCUCAGAAAUGAGGUGUGUGGUGGAAGCAGACAGCCAAUGCAGUGUGAUAAGUGAACUUCAUGUACCUGCCACUGGGAUGGACUGUAUCCCCUCUGCAACUGGCCCACACAACAGGAAAUGGACCAAAGACACACCUACCCAGACGGAGAGCAGCUUGGACUGGAAAUGAACUGCUCCUAAUUCCCCACAAGCACAGAGCACUCAGAGGACCAGACUCUCACUCUUCUCACAGGUCCACUACCUUCUGUAACAUAAGGGACAAUUGCUAGCAUGUUUGCUUCUCAUGCUGGCUUACACGCCUUUUAGUGAAAAUCAUAUGUCUACCCUGCAACUUUAUUAAAAUAGAAUCUCUAAGAUCUGGUAAAGAAACGCAUUGGGCUGGAGAGGUGGCUCAGUAGUUAAAAGCACUUGGCUCCUCUUUCUCUGGGUUUGUUUCCCACCAUCCACUCGGUGGCUCACAAUCAUCCGUAACUCAGUUCAGAGUAUUCAAUGACCUUGUCUGACCUCUUCAGGCACCAGAGUUCAAAGUCAACCCCAGCUACAUACUAAGUUCAAGGCCAACCUAGACUACCUGGAUGCUUCCUCAAAAAGAAAAGAAAGAAAAUCAAACCCAGAAAGUCAUGCAUUGUGAUUCAUUUUGAUGAAGUGUAGAGAGGCCAAUUCACAGAGAUAGAAAGUAAACUAGUGGUUGUCAGCGGUGGAAGAAGGGAAGUAUGGAGAGUUAAUUGCUAAUGGGUUUGGAGUUUCCUUUGGGAGCUGAUGAAAACAUCCUGUGAGUAGUAGAGAUAUUUGAACAGUUUGUAUUUAUAUGAAA
rnacentral:lncRNA from 1 species